CUCUUGCCAGUGUAUGCUGACAGCAAUGCGGGUUAUGUGGGGGAAAGGAUGGUAAGAUGAACAUUUUAGAGAAAUGGUUGCUCAAGGUCUGAAAGAAGCAUUGGGGGUAUGAAGAUGAAGGCUCCACGCAAGCGUUGACAAGGAUGGAUUGAGAAUAAGGUUUAUGUACAGAAUUACCAAGAACAUUGAACUGGAUUUCGCAAGGGAUCAACUUACAGAAUCUGAGGCAUUCCCCAUGUGCCCUACCACAGAUGUGAUUACUACGCCAUCUUGAAUGAAAAAGUCAAGGACAAAAGAAUUGCAGGAUUCAUGCUGCCCAAAAUACUGCUUCUGACAUGGUAUCAAGGUUCCUUGUAUGUGUAAUGGACAUAAGACCUGCACCUUUCUCAAUGGGUGGUUGUGAGUUAAAUGGAUGAGAACGUGUAAAGCAUCCAGAAUGGUCUCCAGCGCACAGUAUGUGUUCAAUAAGCAAGCCAUUCUCCUACCUCCUCCUCCUUUGCCCAAGCCCACAUUUACAGGCUUGAAAACAGCUCAGUUGGUGGAAAAGAACCUAACUGGGUUUAAGAAUGAUCUGGGAAACUAGUUUUGUAAAAAUGUAUAUAUAAAUAUAUGUGUAUGUGUGUGAGUGUGUGUUUAUUGUACAUAUUUCAGAGACAAAUCCAGACUUGCUGGAUCAGAUUCUUUUGGCAUUGGUCCUAGCAUCACUUUCAAGCACAUACCUGUGGUUCUGCCCACAAGUACUUGAAAAUCCCUGAAAUAAAUGCUCAGACUGGUCUCCAUCUGACUCUAGUAUCAGAUACAAGAGUUUAGCUCAAAGCCAGGUCCCCUGGGAGUCGCUGACUUUUCCUUACAGUUCUGAAUCUACUUGACUCUGAGCUGACUCUAUUGUCAGAUGGAGAUGGAUUUUUACCCCAUUUUGCCACAAUGUAUGAACUUGCCUAAGUUAUUUAACCUCUGUGAACCUGAGAACUGUAUAAGGGAAAUGAUAAGCACCAAUAUGGUAGAAAAUAUGCUCAUAUGUGGGAGAGUCUAAAAACAAUUUUUUUUUUCAUUUCCUCUCUCUUUUGAUGACAUUUGGGUUGUGUGCUUCCGGAUAAUCAGGUGAGAGCCCGUACACUCACUGAUAACGUAUCUCUGGCUACUCGACCUGAUGACUUGCUCUUGGUAGGUCUCUUGCACAUGGCGAGUCCCAUCCCCAUCUAGGGGUGUGGGUCUUCCUUAGAUUCAGCCCCAGACAGUAGCACUUCCUGAUCUGAAUGCCUUAUCCUUUUCCUGACUUUGUGAUUUCCUGACCUUGUGCAUCUUGAGAGGCAGCAGUGGUCGAGGGGAAGUCGUACUGGGAUUUGGAGCUUGCCGUGACUUUCUCACCUACUAACUGCAUAACCCAGGAAGGUUCAGAGAGGCAUUUCUGGACUGUAUGAUAUAAAACAGUUUUCUUCUGGUUUACUUUCUCUAAGCACAUUUUCUUCAUGCUACUUAUCUAUGUAAUGUGAGUGUUGUAUAUGUAUUUCAGAAAUAUUAUGGGACAAUUGGCUUUAUGUCUAUCUGUCCUUCUGAACCCUGAGCUCUGUGUCUGUUUUGUUUACCGCCAUAUUUCCAGCACCUCUUGUGUAGUGCUGAUGAUCUUAUAGCAUCCCAAAACGGGUUGAAUGAAUGAAUGACUAAAUGAACAAAUAAUACAGUGACAAAAUCACUUGCCCUUUCUUCAUCGUAUGGCAAUUAUACAGCUCAAAUGAGAUAACCUAUGUGCAAAUGCUUUGUAAGCAAUAUUAACACAAGCAUGACAUACCAUAAUUUUGUUAACCUGUACCUCUCUGCAAUUUGUUGACGAUAAGCAUUUGUCCUGUAGCUACUCAAAGUGUGGUCCAAAAGCCAGUAGCAACCACCGCCAUCUGGGAAUUUGUUAACAAUGCAGAUGUCUAGACCUACCCAAGACCUACGAAAUCAGAACCUUUGAAGGUGAAGCCCAGGGAUCUGUUUCAAUGAGGCUUGUAGGAGGUGAUUCAGACACGUGCUAACAUUUAAGGCUUACUAACCUACAGGACACUCUAAAGAGAGGUUUUUAGAAUUGCAUAAAGUAAACUCAUGAUUUAUCUUUAAAAGUUAUCCUUUUGCUAAUGUCAGAUGCGUUAUCCAUAGUAGAACAAAAGAAUUGUGUUCUGCCUGGAGAGGUUUGGGAGAGCAGAGAAAGCCUGGGUGAAGCACCAUGGAAAAUGAGGGAUACAUGAGGCUUCUGGUCACUCAGAAUGAGGAUGAAGAACAGAAGGAAAGAGAGCAUCAGAGACAUAUUUCACCUUCUUAUUAAGCCUGAAACAGAGAUGCAAAUCGUUUAAAACAUGAAAAUGACUAAAAUGACCUCGUAGAAGUAACAGUUUCCAGAAUCGAAUUUCUUCAUUUUAAUGUGAAGGAAUUCAACGUGAUCGCUAAGCUAUGUUCAAGCCCCGAGGUUCACCAAUAAAGAUUUACCUUGAAAAAAAAAAAAAAGUUAUCCUUUUCCUUACCUAAGCAGAUCCUCUGAAUCUCAGUUUCCUCGGAUCAUUUAGGUCUAAGAAAGGCCAAAUCAUCAGAAAGACCCUCCCUGUAUGUUCACUCGUAACCAUAGCCCCUCGUUUGUUAACAAAUAAUUUAUAUUUGUGUUAUUAUUUGUGGUCUGUUUACUUGCUUCUUGUCUGUCUUCCCAAGGAAGGUAAGUGUUCCACAAGAAGGGACGGAGUCUGUCUUAACCAACACCUGUAUCCAUCCCCAGCGCCUAACACAGUGAAUGGUACACAGUAGAGCUCAGCACCUAUGUGUUAAUUGCAUCAACAUCCUUAAGAAUGUAUUUAUUGGCAAAGAGUGUGUGUGGAUUGAAGAAGUACAGGAUUAAUAUUGAGGGUCAUUGUUUGGCUCAUAUUGAAAUUCGUGCCUGCUUCCAGG